rnacentral:lncRNA from 1 species
CCCACCUGAGAGAAAAAAAAUAUAGAGCAUCUCAUUCUCCUCAAAAAGCUUCAAAGUGCAAGAAAGGUAUGUAUCCCCUCAAAAGAGCAAAAGUAGAAUUGGACUUUCACCAUUGUUAUCCCCAUCAUCCCCAUACACCAUUCACUCGCCACACAUGCACAUCUUGAUUUGACUUAUUGACUUGUUUCUCUGGAUCCAUGGUUUGACUAUGCAAUAAAUGUCUUGUAAGUAUGUAUUAGCUGUCUCCCACCUAUGAGCUCCAGAUAUCAAAGCCUUAUUAGAGUAGGAUG